UUUUUUCCAAUUAUAUGAGAGAGGCUAGUUGGUUAAACAGUCACUUGAAAAAUGGUGAGAGAGGUCAGGAUGUCUACAUUACUAUUUUCUUCUCUGUUAAACUUUGUUCAAUUAAUUCAUUGGGUAAACGGAACAGAUGAAGACAGAAGCGGACCUAGCUUAUAAGUUAUGGGUUCACGUAAAUCUUUUGUCAAUACCAUGUAUAUGUAUUAACAAAUCAACUACUUUAAAUAUUUAUAAAUAUUUGACUGUAAAAGCAGUAAUUAUUAUCUAUAUUAACUUGAGGUACUCAUCGUAGGAACCAAUAAACUUCAAAUCCUAGAUAUGUCUUGGACGAAGAAACCCUUGAAGGGAGACCAGACUUACAAGAGGAAUUGAUCAUCAGAGAAUGUUUGGUUCGUAAGAGGUCAGUGUCAGUUCAUGGCUGCUGCAUCUUAUUUCCUAAGGUUUUUUUAUUUGCUCCCUACUGUGAAAAGUGAUGUAAAAGAUUUCAUUUCAUUUGUAUUCACAUUAAACCAAGAAACUAGUAAGCAUUUAUGCUCUUUCUAAAGACUCUAUUUGGACAUCUAAAGAAUUUCACAUAUGUUAUUUGAUUGGGAC
rnacentral:lncRNA from 1 species